AUUGAACGCUGGCGGCAUGCCUUACACAUGCAAGUCGAACGGUAACGGGCCUUCGGGUGCCGACGAGUGGCGAACGGGUGAGUAAUACAUCGGAACGUGCCCGAUCGUGGGGGAUAACGAGGCGAAAGCUUUGCUAAUACCGCAUACGAUCUACGGAUGAAAGCAGGGGACCGCAAGGCCUUGCGCGGACGGAGCGGCCGAUGGCAGAUUAGGUAGUUGGUGGGAUAAAAGCUUACCAAGCCGACGAUCUGUAGCUGGUCUGAGAGGAUGAUCAGCCACACUGGGACUGAGACACGGCCCAGACUCCUACGGGAGGCAGCAGUGGGGAAUUUUGGACAAUGGGCGCAAGCCUGAUCCAGCCAUGCCGCGUGCAGGAUGAAGGCCUUCGGGUUGUAAACUGCUUUUGUACGGAACGAAAAGCCUUCUUUUAAUGCAUGAGGGUCAUGACGGUACCGUAAGAAUAAGCACCGGCUAACUACGUG
rnacentral:rRNA from 1 species